CAACAGGCAUGCUCUCCACGGCAACUUGAUUACUCCGAGCUUCAUCACCACGAUGAGCUGGGCCUAAUCGAGAAUCCCACUACCCAGCAGUGGUCAUUCAGAGCUCAUCAAUGCCCCCCAUCGACCAGUACACAGAGUUCAUGCUGCGCAUUAAAGCUGGUACCAAUGAUGGAAACUUUGAUGUCAGGAGCAGCCACCGAACCCGGAGACAGGGUGGGGGUGGUCGGGCUCGCACAAGAAGCCCCCAAAGGUCGCGGCCGGCGGUGGGGACGGCGCCAGGGCGUGCGUUGGGUGGCGCGGGGUCUCACGAGCAACAGGUAAGGCAAUCACUCCCACCUGUUCGUUGCUGCUUUUGCUCCCCAGUCGGCAUGAGUAGGUUGUGCAUGAGGCCAGUGUGACCUAACUAUCACAGCGAGUGUUCGUCCCCAUCUCCCUCGCUUGUCCUUGAUUGGUUCAGAGAGCAUUUCCAGUUUUGUAGCUUCGUGUUAGCUUGCCCCAGGAGGCGUAGCAUGCGCGUGUGUUACUUUUCACCAACCCGAAAGCUAAGACACACACAGCCAUGGCAUGGCCCCUUGUGAUGAUUGAGGGAGGAGAGAAAGAGUGUCAAAUGAGAUGAUUAAAGGUCCGACCUCAAUGACAAGUAUGAAGAUGACUUGAAUCUUGGUUGAUACUUGGAAGUUGGUGACAUGGAUCUAUCUAUUAAGCAAAAUUGGAACAUGAUCAUGAUGACGGGCAAGAUCGAUUCUGGUGCCAUGUGUUCGAUGAAAGUUCUUUUGGUGGUGUACUUGGAAAGGACAUCCUUUGUUGAAGUUAAUAUGGCGAACUGACAGCCCAAUUAAACCUAUAUCACCCAAUUAAACCAUUCCUUCUUGCUUCCUUGUGCAAAUUUUGUCGUUCAUCAACCAUACACAUAUUUUAUUAUGCAUUUUUUUUAUUGACUAUGCACAUAGAGAUAAAUAUCAUUUACAAAUGUUAUGUAAUUGAUUGGUCCUAACCAUAGUAUCCUUUUC